GAGGAGCUGCACAACAGCACAAGGCAGAAAGGAGAAGCGACCGCUGCAUUCCGUGGAAGGUCUUGAGAAGACUCUCACAGAGCAGGGAGGUUGCCCAAUGCCCAGAGAAGUUGACUACGAACAAGGGCAUUUGGCUGCCGGGUCGGUCAGCCAGCCUCUUCUCCACCGUCACCGGCGACAGCUUAGCCCGACUACAGACGUGAUGGCUGGUGUUCCCGUUCCUCAAGAGUGCACGCAUCUGCAACCCACCAGGAUUCAAGUCCUAGUGCUCGCAUUUAUCCUGGAUUUAUUUCAAGAUUUCUGGCGAUGCGCGUUCAGUGGGCGGAGACGUUCCCGUCGACGACGAGAUGCCUAUGGUGACUUCGUAAAAUCUCAAGAUGAUAUGCUGGCUCAGUCUCUUAAAAGUGCUCAUAGGGUUAGAGUGUGCGUGUGUGCGUUCAUAGGGGUGAGUGUGUGCGUCUAUAUCUGAGCGCUUGUGUCUGUAUUGUGUUAAAAAAGAGUGCCCGCAUCCAAGUUUGGCUCAGCUUUUCACAAGGGUCGGGAUUACUCGCAGGACUGGUCCAGUCGAUGGAGUUGCAGUGGACUGGGCAUGCACCAACAUCGCGGGGCAUAACGGUCCAUACUAUGUGACAAAUCCGUCAAUCAACUCAUAGGGGUAGGGUGUGCAUUGUGCGUUCAUAGGGGCGGGUGUAUGCGCAUAUGUAUGAGCACUUGUGUCUGUAUUGUGUUAAAAAAAACAAUUUCCUAUUAAAGUUGUCUGCUUUGUUUUGCA